rnacentral:rRNA from 1 species
GAUGAACGCUAGCGGCAGGCCUAAUACAUGCAAGUCGGACGGGAUCUAUCGGAGAGCUUGCUCGAAGAUAGUGAGAGUGGCGCACGGGUGCGUAACGCGUGAGCAACCUACCCAUAUCAGGGGGAUAGCCCGGAGAAAUCCGGAUUAAGACCGCAUAACACUGUGAUUUGGCAUCAUGUUACAGUUAAAUAUUUAUAGGAUAUGGAUGGGCUCGCGUGACAUUAGCUAGUUGGUGAGGUAACGGCUCACCAAGGCGACGAUGUCUAGGGGCGCUGAGAGCAGAAUCCCCCACACUGGUACUGAGACACUGACCAGACUCCUACGGGAGGCAGCAGUAAGGAAUAUUGGUCAAUGGGCGGAAGCCUGAACCAGCCAUGCCGCGUGCAGGACGACUGCCCCAUGGGUUGUAAACUGCUUUUGUCGAGGAAUAAACCUAUCUACGUGUAGAUAGCUGAACGUACUCGAAGAAUAAGGAUCGGCUAACUCCGUGCCAGCCGUCGCGGUAA